UCUCACGGGGAAAAGCAAGUCUUCCGAUCCUGAAUCCUAAUUUUCCUUUCUUUCUUAUUGAGGCGGUGGAGAAUCCUAAUAUAUUUUCCUUAAAAUCAUACGCGUAUGUAUCUGAUUACAGAGUAAAUCCCAGACCGUUCUUCCAGUGGGGGCUUUUGAGCUCAGACUCGUCACAUUGCUUCUUCUCUUACGUCUGCCCAGGGUUUACGAUAACUGGUGCGAGCCUGCUUGAAGAGGGCGCAGCUAGGUAUUGCCAGCCAGGGCCGCGAGAGAACGAACAUUGACCUGAUUUGUUCAGGUAGCCGAUGAUACGAAUGUUUCCAAUCUGUAUGUAUUCUCAAUUAGCACGGCAUCUCUUCCUUCUCCUCACAUCAGAUUCUAUCAGUCACCAUUGAAACCCUAACUUUCCUAAAAAAGUUGUUAGAGUUGUUUGUUUGUUACAGAUAUUUACAUAGGUAUAGGGAAUCACAUAGUUCUGGUGAAAUUGAAGGUAUGGAGAAGGAACGAGUCAGGAAAAGACAUGCGCUUGUGUGGGACGUGGCACCUACAGAACCAGAGGUUGGUUCGAUUACGGUUGGGGUUUUUUGACAGCGAAGGGAAUCGCAAGAGAAAAAGAGAGCAACGGUUCAAUUUAUGGGCAUAUGAAACUUUGAAUUGUGAAACUACGGGUUUUGAUAAUCUGACCAGAUGGUCAUGGUUUGUAGGCGCAACGGGCUCUGGUACGGCAUUGCAUAAGAGAGGCAUGUAUGCCACCGAGAAAGUAUGAUGAUUGCGAUCGCAUUCACGUCUUUGCUCUUGGCGAAAAUCUCACAUCUCGAUGCAGCCCAUGAGAGUCAGACCGAGGAUCCAAAUGUUGGGGAUGGCAUUUGACCUGUAUUGCAAAACGCUGUUUCCAUGGCACCAAGGUGGCCAUGGAAUAACCUUAUCCCUGUGCAAAUGCUCCAUCUCUCGCUUUAAGCACAAACGCACAGACACAUUCAGUUUUGCCUUUUACAACUGCACUUCCGUUUCCUGAUAUUGGCCCAAUAGGUGCUAAUGGUCUUGCUGCUCCAAGGGAUUUUCUUGUUCCAUUAGCCUGAUUUGAAGAAGAUUACAAGCCAGGUUAUACUAUAGUACAAAAAUUUGGUGGAGAACUUUUUAUCGCAAGACUAGAUUUUUCACCUUUCAAUGUAGUUGUUUGGCAUGGUAAUUAUGUUUCAUAUAAGGUGAGUUUUACUGCUAUAGUCCUGAGACAAUCUCUAACAUGGGAAGGGGAUGGAGGAGGGUCGAGCUCGAGAUCUCUAUGAGAUACUGCACACAUGAGUGCCAUCUGCUGUGGACUCACACCUAUCGCAGCUUUUAUUUGUCCAUAGCAAUCAUAAAUUCUUUUAUAUUGCCAGAUUUUAUUUGUCCAAUGUUAUCAUUAAGUUUCUUAUUUACUUAAAUUUUCUGGUUUAACUUUGUCACUAUAAUGUAUCAUACUCACAGGUAUGCAUGAUUUACUCUUAAUCCACAUUGACACUGGCAUCUCGCGGCAUCAAUAUGUGAUUUGGAUGGUAGAAGUUUUACCAGUUUUUGUCUUUUGGUCAAGUUCUCAAGUCAUGUUGAUUCUUUGUGGAGCUGUGUGUGCAAAUACGAAGGUGGUUUUAUUAUCAGUCACAUUUGCAUUGCAGCCCAUGAGAUUCAGACCGAGGAUCCAAAUGUUGGGGAUGGCAUUUGACCUGUAUUGCAGAAAGCUGUUUCCAUGGCACCAAGGUGGCCAUGGAACAACCUUAUCCCUGUGCAAAUGCUCCAUCUCUCACUUUAAGCACAGAUGCACAUUCAGUUUUGCCUUUUAUGACUGCACUUUCUUUUCUUACCAUGUGAAAAUAAUAUAAAUUAAGAGUUACAUUUUAAACUUCCAUACUGGUUAUGUAGGGCUCUGGAUCACUACUGAAUGUGCAAAUUUGCAAGUGUCUCCUGGUGAAAUUGCUGUUUCCUACUGAAUGCGGAAAAUAUGUGGCUGAGAUCUUUGGCACCCAUUUUCAACUUCCUGAUAUUGGCCCAAUAGGUGCUAAUGGUCUUGCUGCUCCAAGGGAUUUUCUUGUUCCAUUAGCCUGGUUUGAAGAAGAUUACGAGCCAGGUUAUACUAUUGUACAAAAAUUUGGUGGAGAACUUUUUACCGAAAGACAAGAUUUUUCACCUUUCAAUGUAAUUGCUUGGCAUGCUAAUUAUGUUCCAUAUAAGGUGAGUUUUACUGCUAUAGUCCUGAAACAUAAUCUCUAACAUCGUGGAUAAAGUGAGGGGUAGCUUUUGCUACCGAAACUUUUUUUUUCUUCUCAUUUUCCAAGCAAGCUGUCUUGGGGAAUUCUGUUUUUCUUGCAGUAUGAUCUCAACAAGUUCUGCCCUUAUAACACUGUCCUAGUUGAUCACAGUAAUCCAUCGAUAAAUGCACGUAUUUAGUCUGUAUUUUGCAGGCAGCCCAUGAGAUUCAGGUCGAGGAUCCAAAUGUUGCCAGAAUCUGUAUGUAUUCUCUUUGCUUUUGAAAAAUUUUACUUUACAUGUUGAUGCCUUGGACGGUGUAUUUAGUACAAUUCCUUGGUCGUGUAAUUGUACCUUUUUUUGAACUUUUUUGUAUAGAAUAAUCAUGUGUUUUGAAAAUCUGGUGACCCUAAUUUUGGGAAAAAGACAAUGUGGUGUUGCCCUUCGCAUGGAUAAGUUUAAUUUGCAUGGUGAGAACCACCCUCAGUAUAUGUAUGGAAGUUACAAUUCUUGGUUGUGUAAAUUUUUAUGCCUCUUCUUUUGUGGGUUCCCAUGAACAACUCGAUGUUGUGCUUGAGGAGAAAAUUUGGUGUCUGUACUUUGAAUUAAGAACUUGUUUCAGAAAAAUAUGGUUCAUGUGGGAAUGAUGUUGAAUUUGCUCGAUGUCAUAUGUUUGGACAAACUCUAGCCUCUUUAUUGCAUAAUGAUCUUCAAUUUGGUCUUAUCAUCAACCAUAACCAUGAAUUUGAAAAGAAUAUACUAUGAAACUGACAAUGGGUUGUUGCCCUUUGCAUGCAUAAGUUUAAGCAUGGCCACGGUAUCUAUGAAAGUUUUGAUGGUUACACAAUAAAAGAGGCUUUUGUUUGUCUAGAUAUGUGUCGUUUGGGUGAACCUUCUGUACCUGUGGUCUCUUCUAUGCGUAAAUUUGACAUUUUUCAUACAUGUGGAAGUCUUGGAUGACGUAAACGAUACAAUUCGUGGUCGUGAGAAUUUUUGUGCCUUUUUUGUGGAUUCCCUUGAGCAACUUGAUGCUCUGCUUGAGGUGGAAAAUAUGGUGUCUGUAAUUUAAAUUAAGAACUAGUUCAGAAAAAUAUGGUUCAUGUGGGUAAUGAUUUUGCAUUCUCUCAAUGUCACAUAUGUUUGGACAAAUUGUAGCCUCUUUAUUGCAUAAUGAUCUUCAAUUUGGUCUUAUCAUCGACCAUAACUUUGAUUCUUUGAAUUUGAAAAGGAAUAUCUUACGUUACUGACAAUGGGUUGUUGCGCUUCGCGGGCAUAAAUUUAAGUAUAGCCACAGUAAAUUUAUGGAAGUUUUGAACGUAAUGCAAUAAAAAGAGGCUUUUUUUGUCUAGACAUGUGUUGUUGAGCGGAACUUCUGUACGUGUUCUUGUUGCUAUGUGCAAGUUUGAACAUUUCUUUUUUUUUUACGUUGUUUAGAAAUGGAAGUCUUGGAUGGUGUACUCAGUAAAAUUCUUGGUCAUGCAAGUGUAUUUUUAUGCAUUUUUUUGUGGGUUCUGGUGAACAUUUUAAUGUUAUUCUUUAGCUGGAAAAUCUGGUGUCCAUGAUUUGAGUUGCGAGCAUAUCUUCAUACAAACACUAGCCUCUUUAUUGCGUAACAAUUUUCAAUUUGGUCUUAUCAGCUAUCGCUAUAAAUUUGAAAGGGUUAUCUUAUGAAACUGGCAAUGAGUUGUUGCCCUUUGCAUGCAUAAGUAUAAGCAUGACCAUAUUUCAUAGAUAAGCAUGGCCCGAUGCUUUUACUAAGUUGGGUUUCCCUUCUAUUGGUUGUGCUGGUUGAUUCCUUUACAGUAAUAGAGCUUGUAGUCUGUAUUCUGAUUACGAUUUGUCCAUGCAAAAUUACUUAUAAACUAGGAAGCACGGACACGGGACAUGACACGGACACGAGAAACUCUCCUUGAAAAUGCAUUUUAAUGGUGUUACCAGGUGUUUGAUAAGAUUGGGCCAAGCUUUUGAUUUUCUAAAGAGAGAUUAAUAAUCCCCUCUUCCUGUGGAUGUUGUUUGGGAAUUUGGACGUCAGCUUUUGGAAUCUUUAGCAUGUGUGUGGAUUGCUCUUGGCUACUGCUUUAUCACUUUUUGUUUCCUUAGCAAUCAUAAGUUCUUUAUAUUGGCAGGAUUUAUUUGUCCAGUGUUUCAUUAAGUUUCUUAUUUACGUAAAUUUUCUUGUUUUGAAAUUCUGGAAGAAAAAAAAAUCCUUGGAAUGACGCCCAGGAGUUCUCAAGAUGAUGCAAAUUUUCGGUGCUUGCCGAGGUCAAGUCCCAUUAAGCUGAUUGAUUUUGGCAUUGCUGCAUUUCAAAAUCAAUGCCAGAGCUCCAUCUCAGAAUCAAUGCCGAAGUCGAGUGCCAUUAAAUUUACUGGCAAGGACUGAGCCAAGUUUGGCUCCGCGACUGCACUUCUUCUUCACUUUCUUUACCCGGAAAAGAACAGAAAAUAUUGCAUAUUUGUCCCAUCACUUGUUUCUCCAGUCUCUCAUUGUAUUUGACUGAAACAGAGGAAGCGAAAGAACCAUACAAAUAAUUUAGAGCUGAGCUUGGUUGGUCCA